CCGGCGCACGGGUGCGUAACGCGUAUGCAACCUACCAUCAACAGGGGGAUAACACUGAGAAAUUGGUACUAAUACCCCAUAAUAUCUCACGCGGCAUCGCAUGGGGUUGAAAACUCCGGUGGUUGAUGAUGGGCAUGCGUUGUAUUAGCUGGUUGGUGAGGUAACGGCUCACCAAGGCGACGAUACAUAGGGGGACUGAGAGGUUAACCCCCCACAUUGGUGCUGAGACACGGACCAAACUCCUACGGGAGGCAGCAG
rnacentral:rRNA from 1 species